rnacentral:rRNA from 1 species
AACGAACGCUGGCGGCAUGCCUAACACAUGCAAGUCGAACGAGACCUCCGGGUCUAGUGGCGCACGGGUGCGUAACGCGUGGGAAGCUGGCCUUAUGUUCGGAAUAACUCCCCGUAAGGGGUGCUAAUGCCGGAUAAUGUCUUCUGACACAAGAUUUAUCGCCCUUGGGUGGGCCCGCGUUGCAUUAGCUGGCUGGUAGGGUAAAAGCCUACCAGGGCGAGGAUACAUAGCUGGUCUGUGAGACAGGUCAGCCACGCUUAGAGUGGGACGCGGUACGGACUCCUACGGGAGGGAGGAGUGGGGGAUAUUGCACUAUGGGCGGAGUCCUGAACCAGCUAUGCCUCGAAAGUGAUGUAGUCCGUAAAGUUGUAAAGCUCUUUUACCCGGGAUGAUAAUGACGGUACCGAGAGAAUAAGCACCGGCUAACUCCGUG